GACGAACGCUGGCGGCGUACCUAAUACAUGCAAGUAGAACGCACAGUUUAUACCGUAGCUUGCUACACCAUAAACUGUGAGUUGCGAACGGGUGAGUAACGCGUAGGUAACCUGCCUGGUAGCGGGGGAUAACUAUUGGAAACGAUAGCUAAUACCGCAUAAUAUUGAUUAUUGCAUGAUAAUUGAUUGAAAGAUGCUAUUGCAUCACUACCAGAUGGACCUGCGUUGUAUUAGCUAGUAGGUGAGGUAACGGCUCACCUAGGCGACGAUACAUAGCCGACCUGAGAGGGUGAUCGGCCACACUGGGACUGAGACACGGCCCAGACUCCUACGGGAGGCAGCAGUAGGGAAUCUUCGGCAAUGGACGAAAGUCUGACCGAGCAACGCCGCGUGAGUGAAGAAGGUUUUCGGAUCGUAAAGCUCUGUUGUAAGAGAAGAACGGGUGUGAGAGUGGAAAGUUCACACUGUGGCGGUAUCUUACCAGAAAGGGACGGCUAACUACGU
rnacentral:rRNA from 1 species